UAUAUGUAAAAAAGGGGGGUAAAAUGUGAAAAAAAUAUCAUACGGAAAAAGUCUAUACAAAUUUGCAGACAGAUUCGUGUAUGAAUUACUUGAAGUAGAGUUUCUUUUUAAUAUACAAUUUUACAUUCUCAUAUAAAUUUAUAGAUCUGGUAUUUGAGAACUACAGAAGACAAAUUAAAGCAGAGUGCAAAAGGAAUUUUAAUAAUCAUUGAAAAUAUUCUGGCUUCAAAAUGCAUGGAAAUGGAGAUGGGACAAAAUGCAUUCUACCAUUUGAUAGCCCAGAAUGAAUUACUUUAAAAGGCUAACAAGAAGAGGAGGCUCGCAGUAGAAGAUACAGACUCUGAAUAAUUAAUAAAAUGUUAAAAUGCUA